GUCUUUUCAGAGACAUCAGAUAAAAUUGGAACAAUAUUACAGAGGAGAUUAGCAUGAGCCAUGCACAAAAAUGACAUGCACAGACCGGCGUUUGCUUUAU